UACGGAGGGUGCAAGCGUUAUCCGGAUUCACUGGGUUUAAAGGGUGCGUAGGCGGCCUAUUAAGUCAGUGGUGAAAUAUCUCAGCUUAACUGAGAAGGUGCCAAUGAUACUGAUGGGCUUGAGUACAGAUGAGGUAGGCGGAAUUGACGGUGUAGCGGUGAAAUGCUUAGAUAUCGUCAAGAACACCUAUAGCGAAGGCAGCUUACUAGGCUGUAACUGACGCUGAGGCACGAAAGUGUGGGGAUCAAACAGG
rnacentral:rRNA from 1 species